AAUAGAGAAGUAACAACAAUUAGUUUCGACCUAAUAAAUAAGAAUAUAAUUUCUUCCUAUUU
rnacentral:tRNA from 1 species